ACAGCUAGCGAUCAGUUAUCGGAGGAUCGAAAUAGAUCCCCGGAGCGGUCUCUUUGUGAGCUCUCCUCGAUUACGUAUUCACACUAUGCUUCCUUUG
rnacentral:sRNA from 1 species